rnacentral:tRNA from 1 species
UCCCUGGUGGCUUAGAAGGUAAAGAAUCUGCCUGGAAUGCAGGAGAACUGGGUUUAAUCCCUGGGUGGGGAA